rnacentral:ribozyme from 12 species
AAAAAAAAAAAAAAGAAGCUCAAAAGUCGUUGCUAACUAACUCAACUUCAUUCUUCUCUUUUCUUAAGAUUAAUUUUGUAGAAAAAAAAAAUAUUCAAAACAACAAUGUCUCUGAAAAAUAACGAAGAUCCUGUUGCAAGUAUCAUAACAAAAUUAAUGCAGGAUUCAAAAAAUCUUG